GACGAACGCUGGCGGCGUGCUUAACACAUGCAAGUCGAACGGAAAGGCCCUGCUUUUGUGGGGUGCUCGAUUGGCGAACGGGUGAGUAACACGCGAGUAACCUGCCCUUGACUUUGGGAUAACUUCAGGAAACUGGGGCUAAUACCGGAUAGGAGCUCCUGCUGCAUGGUGGGGGUUGGAAAGUUUCGGCGGUAGUGGAUGGACUCGCGGGUUAUCAGCUUGUUGGUGGGGUAGUGGCUGACCAAGCCUUUGACGGGUAGCCGGCCUGAGAGGGUGACCGGGCACAAUAGGACUGCGGGAGGGCGCAGACUCCUACGGUAGGCAGCAGUGGGGAGUAUGACACAGUGGGCGGGAGCGUGAGGCAGCGGCGUCGGGUUCGGGAUGACGUGUUUCGGGUUGUGAACCGCUUUCGCCUGUGACGAAGCGUGAGUGACGGUAAUGGGUAAAGAAGCACCGGCUAACUACGUG
rnacentral:rRNA from 1 species